rnacentral:sRNA from 1 species
CUGCUGCGGACAGAUGAAGUGGAUAUGGCUGUCGAAACCGCCCGCGGUCAGGAUGCGUCCCUCACCGGCGAUAAUCUCCGUUCCUGGCCCGAUGACGAUGUCCACGCCGUCCUGCGUGUCGGGGUUUCCCGCCUUGCCGAUCCGGGAAAUACGCCCCUCGCGCAGGCCGACAUCCGCCUUGUAGAUACCGGUAUGAUCGACGAUCAGCGCAUUGGUAAUGACCGUGUCGGCAGACCCCUCGGCCCGGGUUGCCUGCGACUGCCCCAUGCCGUCGCG